AUGGCAACCGUCAUGCAGAAGAUCAAGGACAUCGAGGACGAGAUGUCAAAGACGCAGAAAAACAAAGCCACUGCACACCAUCUUGGUCUUCUGAAGGCUAAACUUGCAAAAUUACGGCGAGAGUUGCUCACUCCUACAACCAAAGGUGGUGGUGGUGCUGGUGAGGGGUUUGAUGUGACGAAAAGUGGAGAUGCACGUGUUGGUUUGGUGGGCUUUCCUUCGGUUGGGAAAUCAACAUUGUUGAACAAGCUGACAGGAACUUUUUCAGAGGUCGCGUCCUAUGAGUUUACAACUUUAACAUGUAUUCCUGGAGUUAUUAUGUACAAAGGAGCUAAAGUACAGCUUCUAGAUCUUCCGGGAAUCAUUGAAGGUGCUAAAGAUGGAAAGGGUAGAGGGAGGCAGGUCAUCAGUACAGCCAGGACAUGUAAUGUCAUUCUGAUUGUUCUUGACGCCAUAAAACCAAUAACUCACAAACGUCUCAUUGAGAAGGAGCUUGAGGGAUUUGGCAUUCGGUUGAACAAGACACCUCCCAAUAUGACAUUCAGGAGGAAGGAAAAGGGUGGCAUCAAUUUUACAUCAACAGUAGCAAACACACACUUGGACCUUGAUACAGUAAAAGCAAUCUGUAGUGAGUACAGGAUUCAUAAUGCUGAUGUCUCCCUGAGAUUUGAUGCAACAGCAGAUGACCUUAUAGAUGUCAUUGAGGGAAGUAGAAUCUACAUGCCUUGCAUCUACGUCGUCAACAGUGCACAUCUGGAAUGGAACCUUGAUGGGCUUCUAGAGAUGGUCUGGGAAUACCUAGAUUUGUGCAGGCUAUACACAAAACCCAAAGGGCUGAACCCAGAUUACGAGGAUCCUGUGAUCUUAUCAUCCAAGAGGAAAACAGUGGAAGACUUCUGCAACCAAAUCCACAAGGACAUGGCGAAACAGUUUAAAUAUGCACUGGUGUGGGGUUCAAGCGUGAAGCAUAAGCCUCAGAGAGUCGGCAAGGAGCAUGAGCUUGAGGACGAGGAUGUUGUUCAGAUCAUUAAGAAAAUAUAA
rnacentral:rRNA from 1 species